rnacentral:rRNA from 1 species
GCCAGACUCCUACGGGAGGCAGCAGUGGGGAAUAUUGCACAAUGGGGGGAACCCUGAUGCAGCGACGCCGCGUGGGUGAAGGAGCACCUCGGUGCGUAAAGCCCUCUCAGCAGGGAAGAAGAAAUGACGGUACCUGAGUAAGAAGCACCGGCUAAAUACGUGCCAGCAGCCGCGGUAAUACGUAUGGUGCAAGCGUUAUCCGGAUUUACUGGGUGUAAAGGGGGCGCAGACGGCAGCGCAAGCCAGGAGUGAAAGCCCGGGGCCCAACCCCGGGACUGCUCUUGGAACUGCGCGGCUGGAGUGCAGGAGGGGCAGGCGGAAUUCCUGGUGUAGCGGUGAAAUGCGUAGAUAUCAGGAGGAACACCGGUGGCGAAGGCGGCCUGCUGGACUGCGACUGACGUUGAGGCCCGAAAGCGUGGGGAGCAAACAGGAUUAGAUACCCUUGUA